rnacentral:rRNA from 1 species
CUUCCGUUAGGGUACCUGCGGAAGGAUCAUUACAAGUGAGGCUACCGAACGUUGGAAACAGCGGUUAGGAGCUUACACCCACCCGUGUCUAUAUACUAUUGUUGCUUUGGCGGGCCGUGGCCUCCACUGCGGGCUCUGCUCGUGUGUGCCCGCCAGAGAACCAAACUCUGAAUGUUAGUGAUGUCUGAGUACUAUCUAAUAGUUAAAACUUUCAACAACGGAUCUCUUGGUUCUGGCAUCGAUGAAGAACGCAGCGAAAUGCGAUAAGUAAUGUGAAUUGCAGAAUUCAGUGAAUCAUCGAAUCUUUGAACGCACAUUGCGCCCUGUGGUAUUCCGCAGGGCAUGCCUGUUCGAGCGUCAUUUAACCACUCACGCCUAGCGUGGUAUUGGGGCACGCGGUCUCCGCGGCCCUCAAAAUUAGUGGCGGCGCCGGUGGGCUCUAAGCGUAGUACAUACUCCCGCUAUAGAGUUCCCCCGGUGGCUCGCCAGAACCCCCAAUUUUUACAGGUGACCUCGGAUCAGGUAGGAUCCCCGUUCU